CAAGGUGCGAUUUUGAGUCAUUUGAAGCCAUUAGAAGCCAAUUUUAAUCACAAAAACAAAUAUGUCUCAGAAUCAGAAUCAGGGUAACGUUCACGAUGAUGAGACGAAAAAAGAAAAGUCACCUAUGACAUGGCAUGGAAUUGUUUGCGAUGGUUCCG